GAUGAACGCUGGCGGCGGGCCUAAUACAUGCAAGUCGAGCGGACGGACGAGAAUAGCGCUUCUCUUAUGUUAGCGGCGGACGGGUGAGUAACACGUGGAUGCCCUCUAUAUAAGACUGGGGUAACGUCGGGGGAACGGAGAUCAUAUACGUCAUUAUCUUGAAACGCGGGGUUCAUAGGUGAAUAAGGUUCUUGCUGUCACUUAUAGGUGGUUGCGCGCUGCAUUAGCUAGUUGGUAAGGUAACGGCUUACCAAGGCAACGAUGCAUAGCCGAUCUGAUAGGAUGAUCGGACACACUGGAACUGAGACACGGUCCAGACUCCUACGGGAGGCAGCAGUGGGGAAUGUUACGCAAUGGGCGAAAGCCUGACGCAGCCACGCCGCGUGAGUGAAGAAGGUCUUCGGAUCGGAAAACUCUGUUAUUAGGGAGGAACAUAAGUAAAAGAAACUGUUCACAUCUUGACGGUACCUAAUCAAUAAGCACCGGCUAACUACGUG
rnacentral:rRNA from 1 species